AUGGAUUUGAACAUGAUGCCUCAAGAGGAAGACGAUGAAGGUAUUAAUUUGAAUUUGAUGCCUCAAGAGGAGGAACCUCAAGUGGCAGAGAAUGUAGUUAUGGAUUUGAACUUGAUGCCUCAAGAGGAAGACGAUGAAGAUAUGAAUUGGAUGCCUCAAGAAGAUGAAGGGAAAGAGGAUGAAGCUCAAGAGGAAGAGGAUGAAGUUAUGAAUUGGAUACUUCAAGAGAAGAGAAGAGAAUUGUCAGAUAAGGAGAGGCAUGGUGUUUACUUUGCCUUGCUGGUAAUCGAGCUCAGAGAUGGGUCUGUUCAACCAGACGACAAGCUGCUAGUCUCAAACCUGUUGGACAUAAGUGUACGAUCUGUUGAAAGAAUCUGGGAAGAGGCUAAAAAGCAAAUUGCCGAUGGCAAAGAAGUAGAUGUCUCAAGCAAGAAGCCAGGAAGAUCCGGCAGAAAGAGAAAGGAGCUAGAUCUAGAGAGGACCUCAACAAUCCCACUGAAUAAAAGAAGAACAAUUCGAUCUCUGGCACGGUCUCUAGGUGUGGCCCGAUCGACCCUACAUAAGAGGUUCCAGUUGAAUGAGCUCAACCGCAUCACAAGCACCGUGAAGCCUCAUCUCAAGCUAGAGAACAAGCUUGCGAGAUUGAAAUUUUGUAUGUCCAUGGUCGAUGACAAUUCGAUCUCAACUUCUCGGACUAUGUUAAAACCAAUGACGAAUAUGGUUCACAUUGAUGAGAAGUGGUUUGAUAUGACGAGAGUGAAGAAUAGUUACUAUGUACUUCCAGGAGAACCUGAACCGAAGUGCACCGUGUCAAACACUCACAGCAUUGGGAAGGUGAUGUUCCUAACAGCUGUUGCCAAGCCUCGAUAUAACAAUGAGGGGGAGCUAACAUUCGAUGGGAAGAUCGGCAUUUGGGCAUUCGUCGAAGAGACUGAGGCGAAGCGGACAAGUCAGAACAGAACAAAGGGAACAAAGUGUUGA
rnacentral:rRNA from 1 species